rnacentral:rRNA from 1 species
GACAGAGGGUGCAAACGUUGUUCGGAAUUACUGGGCGUAAAGCGUGUGUAGGCUGCUCCGAUAGUCGGAUGUGAAAGCCCUGGGCUCAACCUAGGAAGUGCAUUCGAUACUCCGGAGCUUGAGUCCUGGAGAGGAAGGCGGAAUUCUCGGUGUAGAGGUGAAAUUCGUAGAUAUCGAGAGGAACACCGGUGGCGAAGGCGGCAUCCCUGGACCAACACUGACGCUGAGGAGCGAAAGCCAGGGGAGGCAAACGGG